AUCAACAGAUAGCUGAAGAACAACUUAGGGUUCGGUCUCAGGCUUUAACAACAACUUGUUCUCAGGGAUCCCACAAGAACUACCUCAGUCCCUACUGAGGUCAAUCCCCAUGACUUAAGCAUCUCCCACUGGGCCCUACCUCUUAAUUGAGGUCUUUCAACAUUGAAUCUACCUUCCUCAGCUUCCCAGAGUGCUGGGAUUCCAGGAUGGGGGGGUGAUGCAGUAUCUCUAUGUUGCUCAGGUUGGCUCCGACUCCUGGGUUCAAGUGAUUCUUUCACCUCAGCCUCCCAAGUGCUGGGACUACACAGCAAUUUAGAUUUUUAUUUCCAUUGAAAUACUCCUCCAUCAUCUGAAACUCGAAGAAGUUCCAAAGGCAACUGGAAUGAUUGGGCGUCAGUGGGAUAAAGGCACCAAGUGAUCUGGAAGACAUCGAGCUGCUGACACACGGAACAACCUGGGUAAAUCUUGAAUAUACACCAUUACGCUGAGUAAAAAAAGCCACACACAGAGGGAAACACUGUUGGAUUCCAUUUUUUAAAGGACAGUCUGAAAGGCAAAACUAUAGUGGCAAAAUUUAGACCAGUGGUUGCCAGAAUUGGGGAUGAAGGGGCUAACCUGGAUAAAACUGGGGUUAGUGGAACAUUUCUGGAUAAUGAAAAUGCUGUCCUGUUUAUCUUUAUUGUGAUUAUAUCUACAUGGUUGUUUGUAUACAUUCAUCAAAAUGUACAUGAAGAAUGGAGAAUGUUCUAUACAUAAAUUGUGCCUUGACACAUCCAAAAUACCUGACUUAAACAAUAAGCGUUAUCAUACCAAGAGUUAGACUGACAGGCCCAAUACGGUGGGGUUACUGUCUUGCCUCAUUGGAAUAAGACACUAUUAAUGCAGUUAAAACUAGUACUUGGCUUAGGGAAACCGUUUCACAAUUUUGUCUCAAAUCAAGCUUUUAAUCUGUUAAAAAAAAUCCUGUAUGUGUCUAGGUUUUUAAAGUAAACUAUAGUAAUACAUACUAAUAGUUUAAAGAUUGCAUUAUAUAUAUGUAAACCCAUUGUAUGAAUGUCACAAGAUCUUUUGGAAUCUGUGUUAUGCUAUGUAGAGUAUUAUAUAUUCCCUACAGCUUUGUGUGAUCCAUAAUUUAGUCAACAUGCUUUACGGAAAGUAUUUUUCUGUGUGGAAAAAUCAUUCUAAAUCUGUUUUAUGCCCAGUUUUAUGGCACAUGUGAUCUGUAUAUGGUAUCUGAAUCUAAAUAAAUUUAUAAAUAACUUUGUCAGUGUAAGUGAAGUAACGUGUUCUGAUAUUAAUAAUUUUUUGACAGUGAAUUUCUUUUACUCAAAGAUGGCCAUGACAAAUUUUAUUAACUAUCAAAAGCUACAUUUUACUAAAAACAAGCUGUCUUUAAAAAUUUUUUUUAUUUUAAAAAUUUAAUGAAGAAAUACCGUUUUGUAAAAGGAUUUAAGAGCAUAGUUAGAAAAGCACAAAAUUCAUACUAAGACUAACUUAACAACCACCAAAACCUAAAGAUAGUCCCAGUGAAAAAAAAAAAUAAGUGCAACAUAUUUAUGAACAUAACAGAAAAUUUUGAAACAAAAUAUUAGGAAAAGUAAUACAG
ensembl:lncRNA